CUCAGCUGCUCGCCGCCCCCCACCCCAGAGUGCGUGCCGGGUGACUCCCGCCACCUUUGCGACCCUCCUGAGCUUAGGGGACUGCGAGCGGGAGGGAGUCUCAGGCCCCCGGCCGCAGGAUGGUGGCGGAGCGGUCCCCGGCCCGCAGCCCCGGGAGCUGGCUGUUCCCCGGGCUGUGGCUGUUGGUGCUCAGCGGUCCCGGGGGGCUGCUGCGCGCCCAGGAGCAGCCCUCCUGCAGAAGAGCCUUUGAUCUCUACUUCGUCCUGGACAAGUCUGGGAGUGUGGCAAAUAACUGGAUUGAAAUUUAUAAUUUCGUACAGCAACUUGCGGAGAGAUUUGUGAGCCCUGAAAUGAGAUUAUCUUUCAUUGUGUUUUCUUCUCAAGCAACUAUUAUUUUGCCAUUAACUGGAGACAGGCAAAAUCAGUAAAGGCUUGGAGGAUUUAAAACGUGUUAGUCCAGUAGGAGAGACAUAUAUCCAUGAAGGACUAAAGCUAGCGAAUGAACAAAUUCAGAAAGCAGGAGGCUUGAAAACCUCCAGUAUCAUAAUUGCUCUGACAGAUGGCAAGUUGGACGGUCUGGUGCCAUCAUAUGCAGAGAAAGAGGCAAAGAUAUCCAGGUCACUUGGGGCUAGUGUUUAUUGUGUUGGUGUCCUUGAUUUUGAACAAGCACAGCUUGAAAGAAUUGCUGAUUCCAAGGAGCAAGUUUUCCCUGUCAAAGGUGGAUUUCAGGCUCUUAAAGGAAUAAUUAAUUCUAUACUAGCUCAGUCAUGUACUGAAAUCCUAGAAUUGCAGCCCUCAAGUGUCUGUGUGGGGGGAAUUUCAGAUUGUCUUAAGUGGAAGAGGAUUCAUGCUGGGCAGUCGGAAUGGCAGUGUUCUCUGCACUUACACUGUAAAUGAAACAUAUACAACGAGUGUAAAACCAGUAAGUGUACAGCUUAAUUCUAUGCUUUGUCCUGCACCUAUCCUGAAUAAAGCUGGAGAAACUCUUGAUGUUUCAGUGAGCUUUAAUGGAGGAAAAUCUGUCAUUUCAGGAUCAUUAAUUGUCACAGCCACAGAAUGUUCUAACGGGAUCGCAGCCAUCAUUGUUAUUUUGGUGUUACUGCUACUCCUGGGGAUCGGUUUGAUGUGGUGGUUUUGGCCCCUUUGCUGCAAAGUGGUUAUUAAGGAUCCUCCACCACCACCCGCCCCUGCACCAAAAGAGGUAAGAAGAAGAACCUUUGCCUACUAAAAAGUGGCCAACUGUGGAUGCUUCCUAUUAUGGUGGUCGAGGGGUUGGAGGAAUUAAAAGAAUGGAGGUUCGUUGGGGUGAUAAAGGAUCUACUGAGGAAGGUGCAAGGCUAGAGAAAGCCAAAAAUGCUGUGGUGAAGAUUCCUGAAGAAACAGAGGAACCCAUCAGGCCUAGACCACCUCGACCCAAACCCACACACCAGCCUCCUCAGACAAAAUGGUACACCCCAAUUAAGGGUCGUCUUGAUGCUCUCUGGGCUUUGUUGAGGCGGCAGUAUGACCGGGUUUCUUUGAUGCGACCUCAGGAAGGAGAUGAGGGCCGGUGCAUAAACUUCUCCCGAGUUCCAUCUCAGUAAAAGGGAAGCAGGAAGACCAAGAAGGUACGAAGAUGGCACAUUUUCACAUAGCUGAUUUUCAACCAAAUGAAAAAAAUCAAGUGCAUUUCAGAAGCUUUUGGAAGAGCAGCUUAAUUCCUCUCAGUCGGGAAAUGUUUUCUCUGCCUUCUGCUUUGCUUGCACCAAACAUUUCUAAACACUUGUUCUGCCAUCUACAUGGGAGGUGAUGAAACUCAGUGGUAACUCAUGAUUUAUGACAUUGAAAAUAAAGAGGAACAUUGACCUGCAGACUAUGGUUUGUACAAGAAAGUUUGUUUGAAUGUGUAGAAGAG
rnacentral:lncRNA from 1 species